rnacentral:tRNA from 1 species
GGCGUCGUGGCCAAAUGGAUAAGGUGUCUGACUUCGGAUCAGACGAUUCCAGGUUCGAGUCCUGGCGAGGUCG